rnacentral:lncRNA from 1 species
GAGUUAUUGCCAAAGGCAGCCAUCUGUACCAGAAGCCAUGUCCAGUCUGAAAUGCCAUAUGAAUUACUGCUGAGUAAAAAUUCGGUAUUGAGCUGAGAAAAUUGCAUUCAUCAUAUGACUUGUGUGUGCUGCAGAUUACCACUCUACAACUCGAAGUGAUUGGCUGGAAAUUAUCCGAAGCAAAGUGAUGGUUGGUCGCAACAAGGUCCUGAAUCGAACCGCGCGCUGCAUCGAAUAAACAGUUUGAGUGCGCUGGAUGAUGUGUGUAAUCUAAAAGAAGACUGGCUUCUGUUAUAUAUAGUAUAGUGUGGCAUAAUAAGAGAACAGGUUCUUUUGAUAUUACCUGCGAGUGCUGCUUUUCCCCGUCCUUGUCCUGUGCUGUAAAGCUUUAGUAGACCCCUGAGUAUCCAGCAGAACUCUGAGUUGCUUCAAUCACUCCUUGCAAGUAAAUCAGCCACUGGCACAGUGGCAUAUUGAUUUCAACAUAAGAAGGGGGGGAAAAUGUAUGUUAUGAUGUUC